AAAUAAAUGAGAGAGCAGAAGGUAAAGCGGACGUUUCAUAACAGUUUAACUAGAGCUCGUACUGAAAAGGACUGUUUACAAGUUUAAUCAGCAACCCCCCGAAAAGGCAUAAGCUCUUACGGUGAUUUCAAGAGUAAAGGAAUGUAAAUAAAGCAACUUGAAACAUCAGUAAAGUUUCGGCCAUCAUUCGGAUGGGGUCUGCUACA
ensembl:processed_transcript